rnacentral:rRNA from 1 species
UACGUGAGGCGCGAGCGUUGUCCGGAAUUAUUGGGCGUAAAGAGCUCGUAGGCGGCCUGUUGCGUCCGCUGUCAAAUCCCAGGGCUCAACCCUGGACAGGCGGUGGAAACUACCAAGCUGGAGUUCGGUAGGGGAGACUGGAAUUCCUGGUGUAGCGGUGAAAUGCGCAGAUAUCAGGAGGAACACCGAUGGCGAAGGCAGGUCUCUGGGCCGAUACUGACGCUGAGGAGCGAAAGCGUGGGGAGCGAACAGG